AUUCAAUACUCUUUCAUAUUAAUAUUGAAGAGAAUACAAUUGAUUAUUAUAAGAAACUAUCUACAAUAUUCAAUCUAUGUGUUCAUUAAAAUAUAUCUCAGCUAUAGCAUCCUAUCCCUAGCAGUUGUUGGAUCGACUGGCCCAAAAAUUUGUCGGGAAUGGAACCACAAGUCGGGAGAUUAACUCAUUCCGAGCGGUUGGCAAGCACAACAGUUGGCCGGGACGGAUUCGUGGCCAAAUAGAAAGCGGCUGGGCUGCAUUAGGAGCAUAAACAAUUUAAAAACCAUUUGGCAAAACAAUUUUCUAAUGACGCUCAUAUGCUCUGGCCGUGUGCAUUUUCGUUGCGGUUUGCGAGCGGCAAUUUACCCGAGCCACCGGCAAUUAGACCAAUGAAAUCCUUUAUCAAAACAAUGGGCCGUCAACAAAAGGGUUUCCUUGGUUCCCCCAUAACCCAAGGCCAACAGCCAAAAAUAGAAAAGAUGAAAGAAUGAAAGGAAGAUGGAAAGGGCGCACUAAUAGAUACAAUGCCUAAUAGAUACAUUUUACAAUGCCAGCGGAGCGUGCUCAAUGGCCAUCAAACACUGGCACUCAAACAAACAAUAAAAAAUUUAUUAAAGAAAGGCAGGGAAAAUUACGAAACGCACAAAUUAAAAACACUGCCAUCGUACACAAUGAA